GAUGAACGCUGGCGGCGUGCCUAAUACAUGCAAGUCGAGCGAACGGACGAGAAGCUUGCUUCUCUGAUGUUAGCGGCGGACGGGUGAGUAACACGUGGAUAACCUACCUAUAAGACUGGGAUAACUUCGGGAAACCGGAGCUAAUACCGGAUAAUAUUUUGAACCGCAUGGUUCAAAAGUGAAAGACGGUCUUGCUGUCACUUAUAGAUGGAUCCGCGCUGCAUUAGCUAGUUGGUAAGGUAACGGCUUACCAAGGCAACGAUGCAUAGCCGACCUGAGAGGGUGAUCGGGCACAGUGGAACUGAGACACGGUACAGACUCCUACGGGAGGCAGCAGUAGGGAAUCUUCCGCAAUGGGCGAAAGCCUGACGGAGCAACGCAGCGUGAGUGAUGAAGGUCUUCGGAUCGUAAAACUCUGUUAUUAGGGAAGAACAGAUGUGUAAGUAACUGUGCACAUCUUGACGGUACCGAAGCAGAAAGCCACGGCUAACUACGU
rnacentral:rRNA from 1 species